rnacentral:rRNA from 1 species
ACACAUGCAAGUCGAACGGAGCUUAGAGAGCUUGCUUUUUAAGCUUAGUGGCGAACGGGUGAGUAACGCGUGAGUAACCUGCCCUAGAGUGGGGGACAACAGUUGGAAACGACUGCUAAUACCGCAUAAGCCCACGGUACCGCAUGGUACUGAGGGAAAAGGAUUUAUUCGCUUUAGGAUGGACUCGCGUCCAAUUAGCUAGUUGGUGAGGUAACGGCCCACCAAGGCGACGAUUGGUAGCCGGACUGAGAGGUUGAACGGCCACAUUGGGACUGGGACACGGCCCAGACUCCUACGGGAGGCAGCAGUGGGGGAUAUUGCACAAUGGGGGGAACCCUGAUGCAGCGACGCCGCGUGGAGGAAGAAGGUUUUCGGAUUGUAAACUCCUGUCGUUAGGGACGAUAAUGACGGUACCUAACAAGAAAGCACCGGCUAACUACGUGCCAGCAGCCGCGGUAAAACGUAGGGUGCAAGCGUUGUCCGGAAUUACUGGGUGUAAAGGGAGCGCAGGCGGGAAGACAAGUUGGAAGUGAAAACCAUGGGCUCAACCCAUGAAUUGCUUUCAAAACUGUUUUUCUUGAGUAGUGCAGAGGUAGAUGGAAUUCCCGGUGUAGCGGUGGAAUGCGUAGAUAUCGGGAGGAACACCAGUGGCGAAGGCGGUCUGCUGGGCACCAACUGACGCUGAGGCUCGAAAGCAUGGGUAGCAAACAGGAUUAGAUACCCUGGUAGUCCAUGCCGUAAACGAUGAUUACUAGGUGUUGGGGGAUUGACCCCCUCAGUGCCGCAGUUAACACAAUAAGUAAUCCACCUGGGGAGUACGACCGCAAGGUUGAAACUCAAAGGAAUUGACGGGGGCCCGCACAAGCAGUGGA